rnacentral:rRNA from 1 species
GUGCCAGCCGCCGCGGUAAUACGGAGGGUGCAAGCGUUGUCCGGAAUCACUGGGCGUAAAGGGUGCGCAGGCGGGGCAGCAAGUCGGAGGUGAAAGCCCAUGGCUCAACCAUGGAAGUGCCUUCGAAACUGUUGCUCUUGAGUCCCGGAGAGGCUGUCGGAAUUCGUGGUGUAGCGGUGAAAUGCGUAGAUAUCACGAGGAACACCAGAGGCGAAAGCGGACAGCUGGACGGGUACUGACGCUCAGGCACGAAAGCGUGGGGAGCAAACAGGAUUAGAAACCCGAGUAGUCC